GCUUUGAGAUUUAACACUACUGGCUUUUAUCCAUUUCUGUCAGUCUCAAUCUCUUAGCAAUCAGUGACAUCUUUGUAUUGUCCCUUUGAUGUUUAAACCAGAAUAAAGGUUGCAACCCAUCCUCUAGUUACAAAAAAGUCCUCAAAGUUCACAUUCAUGAGGUGUUCACAGAGGCAGCGGCUCUAAAAAGUUAGUGAAGUGUCCUGAACAUGUGCAAAUAGAGUCCCAGCUCAUUUACUUUAAGUUAUGUUGGAACAUGUCUCCUGAAUACCAGGGCCAUCUCCUGAUGGUACGCAGAUUAAAACAGAUCCUCACUGUUUUGUCCUGACGUGCUUUCAGGAAUAUUACUGCUCAAAUGAGGCCACAGAAGACCUGACCUCGUUAAUUCUCGGUGAGCCAGCAGGAAAUCCAGCUAGGAUGACUUUUCUGACUUCCUCUGUGUUUCCCUGGAGAUCCCAGCUCAUACAAGCAGAAAGAGAACAGUAAUUUAGAUGAAAUUAAGUUUGUUUUGAAAUAAUGAUUCCAAGGAAAGGCUAGACAAGGGUGGAGCUACACAUUACUUCAUAAACUUUAAAGCUUUUAUGAGGAGGUUUUUUUCUUUUUAAUUUUUGGACAUUUUCCAAAUACACUGAAAUUCAUAUUGGUGACCUUACAUGACAAACAAGACAAUCAGAAACAACACAAACUGAAAGAUCACAUGAGCUUUAAAGGGGACCUGCCAUCAAAAUUUCAUACCCAUUUUUAUCAUUUUUUCAUAAUCCUUGAUGUCAUCUGAUCAUGUUUGCAACAUAAUUUUAGCUGAAAAGUUAUUUGAUGGUUUGUUUUAGUAUGCCUAAAAAACCUUACAGGAAAACCAACUGGUUUUGGCUCAUUAACAUUUAUGGUAAUGAGCUUUGCUCUGAUUGGAUCGCUGCUGUGAAGCCUGCUGUGCUCUGAUUGGCUCAGCAGUGGAGGUUCGGAUUUCAGUUUAUCCAUUUUGCUAAUGUGUGCUAAAGUAAGGUGCCCAGAUGUCUGUAAUGAUAUCUGGGGAUAUUCGGUGCAGCGGCGGCUGCGGGGAGGGUGCAGGGGCUGUGUGAUCACAGACAAAAUCUCGGUACUGUUUAGUAGCAGCGCAUGCCCCUUGUAAUAACCCCCUUAAAAACUGUUGAUCAGGACUGCUUACCUGUGCUUCCUACCUAUUCGGCUACUGUAAUAACCGUUGUUCGAACCCACACGCAACAUUUUUGCUCUCGUUCAUGAAACGCUUAAAUCGGGGACAUUUUCGGGGACAGCUUUAGCCGGGGACAGGUCAUCCAAUACGGGGACUGUCCCCGGAAAUCGGGGACGUCUGGUCAUCUUAUACUAAAGGCUAAAAAUGGCAGGUAUUAAACCGGUAUGGCAGGUAUUAUAUUUUAGACCCCGAGUCCGAAGAGGAGGUGGAAGUUGAAGAAGCCAGAGAUCUCCAGUGGUGUUUUCUCAUUCAUUCUGCCCAGCUUUAAGUUCAUUUUCCCGGCAGUGAACCCAAGGAAACACCGGUCGUUUGGAAGAGACCCAUAGCGGAUACAGUGGUAGCUGGGUCUCGCGCUGGCUAGUAUGGAGAGUGAUGUUGACUGGGAAUGAGUACGAGAAAGAGAGAGUGGGCGCGGCUCACCGAGGACGUGCUCGUGAAUAAUAAUGAGCAAGGUCAGCGCAACGUCAGAGGGACCUGCUUUUUCAAUUGGCCUGGUUUACCCGUUCCUUUAUUUUAAACCUUUACAGAAUGCAAACGACGUAACGGUUUGUUUUCACAUUUACAACAUAAGACGAACAUAAUAUGGACCUUAUCUGACACAAAAUACUCACACAAAAUUACAUUUUGAUGGCAGGUCCCCUUUAAUUAGUGCAUUUUUCUCAUAUGGGGCAGCAGUAGCUAAGGAGGUAGAGCGGUCAUCCAACAACUGGAAGGUUGGCGGUUCAAUUCCACUGUAUCCCGAGUCUGUCUGUUGUGUUCAUGGGGAAGACACUUAAACCCACCUUGCUCCCAGUGUGUUUCCUCCACUGGUGUAUGAUUGUGUGUUGAGUGUUGUGUGGUGGUGGUCGGAGAGGCUGUAGGUGCAAACUGGCAGCCAUAUUUCUGUCAGUCUGCCCCAGGGCAGCUGUGACUGCUAAGGUAGUUUACCACCACUGUGGUCUCUGAUAAAGUGCUCUGAUGCAUUCUUAUUAUUAUUAAAUAUCAUCACCCAUUUCUAAAACAUUUUAAUUUAUCAUCAACCAUGAGACCGACACUUCUUAGAUAAGACUUUUCCUUAUAGAACUAUUAUCAUGCUUUUAUUAUGAUAUUUUUCUUGCUUUUAGGUUGCUAUACGUCCCACAUUGCCAAACUAUGCUUUCAUUUCUGAGUGCACAACUGCAUGUAAAUCCCAAAAGACUAAAAUAAAUAAAUAAAACAGUUAAAUAACUUUUAAAAAGUAUAAAUGUUCCAUGUCCUGGAGAGACAUGUGCUCUAAUGUUGUUUUUGGAUUAAUGGUAAAUCUUGAACAUCUCUCAGGGGGAUAUUUCAGCUAGCUUGCCAGCAGCUGUUGCUUCUUGUAUGUCUCUUCUCCUUUUUAUGACAUGUGGCAGCCAGCAUACAAAGCCACUAAGAUGAAAUUCAAAAACGGGUGAAAAAGGCUGGUUAUGUGGUAGGAUUCAAGCUGGACUCGCUGGAGGAUGGGGUGGAGAGAUCUACACUGAGGAAGGUGGAGACUAUUCUACAGAACAUGGAUCACCCACUCCACAACACCUUGAUGGACCAAAGGGCCAAUGGUGGUGGACGGCUCCACUCUCUUCACUGCAGGACAGAAAGGUUCAAAAGAUCUUUUGUACCAACAGCCAUCAGACUUUAUAACUCUUAUGUAAAUGGUAGCUCAACCAGGACAAAACAGAGGUUUUAAUAAUUGGUUCAAAGGCUCAGAGAGAGAAACUGACCCCCAAACUCCACAAAAUAGGACUUAACCCCAGCCAAGAAGCAUGAAAUCUCGGGGUGGUCUUUGAUUUUAAUUUUAAAACUCGUGCUAGGGGUGUCACUAAAACAGCCUUUUACCAUCUUAAAAACAUAGCAAAAGUACGACCGUUUCUUUCUCUGAGCCAGACAGAGAGACUAAUGCACGCUUUUAUAACCAGCAGGCUUGACUACUGUAAC
rnacentral:lncRNA from 1 species